rnacentral:sRNA from 19 species
GCUUUAGAAAAUAAAUAUUGAAUAUAAUAGAACUAAUAUCUUAGCUUACUAUUGCUAAGAAAGUUAGUCUGAAAAGAAUAAAUCUUCGCCAUCACCAGGGGACUUUUUAGUCCACAGUUAGUCGUUUUACCCCGCCAUCUGGAUGCCUUCACAUUCAGAUGGUCGUAA